rnacentral:rRNA from 1 species
GACGAACGCUGGCGGCGUGCUUAACACAUGCAAGUCGAACGGAAAGGCCCCUUCGGGGGUACUCGAGUGGCGAACGGGUGAGUAACACGUGAGUAACCUGCCCUUGACUUCGGGAUAACUUCAGGAAACUGGGGCUAAUACCGGAUAGGAAUCCUUGCUGCAUGGUGGGGGUUGGAAAGCUUCGGCGGUUUUGGAUGGACUCGCGGCUUAUCAGCUUGUUGGUGGGGUAGUGGCUUACCAAGGCUUUGACGGGUAGCCGGCCUGAGAGGGCGACCGGCCACAGUGGGACUGAGAUACGGCCCAGACUCCUACGGGAGGCAGCAGGGGGGAAUAUUGCACAAUGGGCGGAAGCCUGAUGCAGCAACGCCGCGUGCGGGAUGACGGCCUUCGGGUUGUAAACCGCUUUCAGCAGGGGCGAAGCUUGUGGUGACGGUACCUGCAGAAGAAGCACCGGCUAACUACGUG